rfam:Giardia lamblia ATCC 50803 strain WB C6 ctg02_1, whole genome shotgun sequence.
GUCAAUUCUAUCAUAUUUUUUUGACAGCCUGCGACGCAAGCCCUCUAGCAAGAUGCAGGCCGGAGCCUGUGUCUCGUUCCCUGGGGCGAUAGCUCUUGCUGGCAGGUCUUGCAGUGUCCAUACCCGGGCAACACGUUUUCCAGCUACACCU